UACGUAGGGCGCAAGCGUUGUCCGGAAUUAUUGGGCGUAAAGAGCUCGUAGGCGGUUUGUCGCGUCUGCUGUGAAAACCUAAGGCUCAACCUUGGGCUUGCAGUGGGUACGGGCAGACUGGAGUGGUGUAGGGGAGACUGGAAUUCCUGGUGUAGCGGUGGAAUGCGCAGAUAUCAGGAGGAACACCGAUGGGCGAACGGCAGGUCUCUGGGCACUUACUGACGCUGAGGAGCGAAAGCGUGGGGAGCGAACGGG
rnacentral:rRNA from 1 species